GACCAAAGGGGGCGAGCGUAAGCAGCUCUCACCGAAGGAGGAGCCUGCGUCCGAUUAGCUAGUUGGUGGGGUAAUGGCCUACCAAGGCGACGAUCGGUAGCCGGCCUGAGAGGGCGAUCGGCCACACUGGAACUGAGACACGGUCCAGACUCCUACGGGAGGCAGCAGUGGGGAAUAUUGCGCAAUGGGCGAAAGCCUGACGCAGCGACGCCGCGUGGGUGAUGAAGGCCUUCGGGUCGUAAAGCCCUGUCUGGUGGAACGAAACGCCUGGCGGCCAAUACCCGCUGGGUUUGACGGUACCACCGAAGGAAGCCCCGGCUAACUACGUGCCAGCAGCCGCGGUAAGACGUAGGGGGCGAGCGUUGUUCGGAUUUACUGGGCGUAAAGCGCGCGUAGGCGGCCAGAUAAGUCGGGUGUGAAAGCCCUCGGCUCAACCGAGGUUCCGCAUCCGAUACUGCUUGGCUGGAGUCUAGGAGAGGAGAGCGGAAUUCCCAGUGUAGCGGUGAAAUGCGUAGAUAUUGGGAGGAACACCCGUGGCGAAGGCGGCUCUCUGGACUAGUACUGACGCUGAGGCGCGAAAGCUAGGGGAGCGAACGGGAUUAGAUACCCCGGUAGUCCUAGCCGUAAACGAUGGGCACUAGGUGUGGGAGGUAUUGACCCCUUCCGCGCCGAAGCUAACGCAUUAAGUGCCCCGCCUGGGGAGUACGGCCGCAAGGCUAAAACUCAAAGGAAUUGACGGGGGCCCGCACAAGCGGUGGAGCAUGUGGUUCAAUUCGACGCAACGCGAAGA
rnacentral:rRNA from 1 species